rnacentral:rRNA from 1 species
CAAGUAGCUGGUUUCCUCCGAAGUUUCCCUUAGGAUAGCUGGAACUGACUGUAGAGCCACAUCGGGUAAAGCGAAUGAUUAGAGGAUUGGGGGAUGAAACAUCCUUCACCUAUUCUCAAACUUUAAAUAGGUGUGAUAGGCAAGUUGCUUAAGUGAACUUGUCUUUUAGCGGGUCGAUAGUUCUUAGUGGGCCAUUUUUGGU